AAAGGUCUUCAAACAAUAUUAUUGUUUAUCGCAAUAAUUUUUGAGACAAUUAAUCGCUCAGCAAAAUUUGUUAUCGUGACAGGCCUAGGUAACAUUAACAUUUGUGCAGUCAAUAUCAUUGAGUUUACAAAUUGCCUGUUGAAAUAAAACAAAAGUGUGGGGCGAGGCAGUGCUGUGCCUCACCUUUGGUGUUGCCUUGUCACAUAAAGUGAAUGAAGCAGGCUGUUGGUGCAUGCUUAUUGCUUAUUGCUGUUUUCUUAAUAUCAUCAAUAAACUUGUUAAAUUGCACAUUCUGCAUGUCUGUCUAAUAUAUUUAAUGAAUGUGUGACACAUUUAGUCUGAUUAGCUAUAAAUGUGUAGUGAAAAUAUGGGUGAGGCAGAAAGUUCACUGAUGGAGGCAGUGCUGAGCCCCAUAAACAAAGAAGACAACAGAAGUUCUUCUUCUAUGCAAUGAAAAGAUUGAAAACGAUAAAAGAUAACAAAUAAAAAAAACAGAGAAAAUGCGGUUGGAAUAGAAACAUUCAAGACCACUCUAAUCUUUGGCUGCCAGAUUUUUUUUAAAAUGAAAGGAAAAUGAGAUAGAAACACUUGAAGUGGUGUUUAUCCAUCUGGGGUGUGUUAAAUUGUUAGGUGAGAUGGUUUUAGUUGAACCAUGAGCUGCAACUCAAAAAAAUCUGCAUAUCAGCCAUAGUGUCAAAAAUAUUUCAACCAAUAAAAUCUGCAUCUAUGCAUAACAUUGCACAUUUUAAACCCUCGUUUGCAAAGGGUUCAUACUUUUUUCUUUGUUUGUAAAUAAAUAUGUAGCCCCUGGUUAAAAACCAUGCACUUAAGGCCUGUAAUAUUUACAAAAUAUUUACGAGGUUGGUUUUAUGUAAGAAAACAAAGGAUAAGUGAGAAAUGUGUAUUGUUUUUGUACAUUUUUAAUCUGAGUGAUUAUAUACAUGAUGGAAAAAACAGAAAGCCAAAACUUUUCUGGAGGUGACAUGUGUAUUUACAUAAGUGUAUUGUUUGAUUAAUCAUCCCAUUUGUUUAAAGACUAUAUUGAAUAUCCUACCUACGAAAGUAGUUUAGGUAAACGAGGGACAAGUGAACUCAACAGCAAAAAAAAACUGAACAAUGGGAUUAUGGGAAGAGGAAAGGAGAAGAGUGCGAGGGAGAGAAGAAGAAGCUAAUGGUGACCGCUGCUAAUAAUUCUGCAGUGAAAAGCACGGAGGAAAACUGCGGCUGAAUCAAGGAGAACUGCGGCUGAUCCGACAUGGCGACACUGAUUUCAGCGCGACGGAGGAGUAGUCCUGCAACUCGGGUGGCGGAGUUUUAAAGGAAGUUGGACUCGCGAAGCAUCCUUCACGGAGAGGACGUCGGCUGAGCGAGCAGGUCGGAGUUGGUUCAUUGUUUAAACGGAGAAGAGGAUCGUCGAAGCGACAUCGAUCUCUAGCUUCACCAGGCCUGCAACGGAACCUUAAACCGGUACCGGACAGUGUGUGUGUGAGAGAGAGUAUGGGCCCAUGUGUGAUAUUGUGAUUUUGAACUGUAAAUUUUCUGUAAAUGUAUGGAGUUCUAUUGGUAACAAAAAUUGAAUUCUGGUUGUAGUAAAACAACAGUUAACAGUGAGGGUUUUUCUUAAAAAUCACAAAGGUAAAGUGAGUAAAACAUAAGGGACUGAAAAGAAAAAGUGCCUUAUCGGCUUUAUUUUGUUUUGGGAAACAUUUGUUGUGAGGGAAUUGAUAACCUUGUUCUAUGUUUAAGUUUUUGAUUGUUUUGGGGAUUUGUGGAGCUAAGGUUUUAUUUUUCUUAAGCUCUUAUUAAAAGAAACUGUUCAGGUA